rnacentral:lncRNA from 1 species
GCCAUUCCUGGAAUGCUUCUAGCUUUGGUCUUCUGUUUUGACCAUCGAAAGAAUAGAGAUAUGGACAUUUCAUUGGAGACCUUUUCCUCAAAAGGGCAUAAAUAUAUAUGGUAUGGACUUUCUGGUUAUGCAGCUGGACUGAUCACUGCUUUGGCUGCUGGGAUCUUGAGUCAGUCUCCUCAACCUGCUCUUCUCUAUCUGGUUCCGUCAACUUUGGGGCCUGUUAUUUUCCUGUCAUGGUUAAGAAAUGAACUAAGGGAGCUGUGGGAAGGAGCCAGACCAAUUUCAAAUGACAAGGCUCAUUCAAUGGAGGUUUGAACUGCAUCGCCGUUCUCAUACUGCUGACCUCUUCUUCCAUAUAAUUUUAUUUAAACAGAUGUAACAUUCAUGCUCAAGAGCUAUUUAUGAAGGUCAUCAAUCUUCAUUGCCAUUUCUGCAUGCAAGAAUGAUGAAUCAAUGCCUAGUAAUGAACCUUCAUUUUAUCAGAACUUGCUGUGGUUGAAAAAAGCAUUUUGUAGGCAAAAAAAAUCUAUACAUUGGCCGCUUGAAACAGCCAAAGAUUCAACCUUUUUUAACCGUUCCAGGUAUGUUCUCUGUGGCCGCAGAUGAAUUUUGGAGCUGUCAUGACGGAAAUAUUGUCUUCUAGGAUUUCAUCCCCGAGUGGAACGCAAACUAAUAGACACAGCUUUCUGCUCGGAAUAAUAAUUUCAAGAAGGUUUAUUGACACAACUAGAGUGUAGAGGGGGGAGAACUAGAAAGGGGAGUAUUUUUGGUGUACUUGCGCUACUAUGGAGUCACUGUGGAAGCUUACAUACUUGCUUGAACCUGCAUCUCUCGCCCUCAUAGUGACAGCAAUCUUCGUGACGUUUGCAUCGGCUUCCCGAGCUCUGGAUCAUGGCAAGGAGAUGGAGAGGAAUCUCGAAUUCUCGGAGGCAUCCAUCACAUUAGACCGGUCCCAAGCACUUAUGAUCCCCCUCGCAAGCUCUUGCAGCCUUUUGUUAAUGUUCUAUCUUUUCUCGUCAGUGUCCCACCUUGUUACUGCCUUCACAGCCAUUGCGUCAGCCUCUGCGCUCUUCUUUUGUCUCUCUCCUUAUGUUGCCUGCAUCAAAUCCCAUUUCAAUUUAAUGGACCCAUUUGUCUCCAGAUGCUGCUCCAAGUCUUUUACACGUAGCCAGGGAAUACUAUUGUUGCUAUGUAUAGGAACUGUAGUGGCCUGGCUCGUUUCUGGGCAUUGGGUGCUGAAUAAUUUAUUGGGUAUUUCCAUAUGUAUAGCAUUUGUUAGCCAUGUACGGCUACCGAACAUUAAGAUCUGCACUUUGCUUCUUGUCUGCUUAUUUGUGUAUGAUAUUUUCUGGGUCUUCUUCUCGGAGAGGUUUUUUGGAGCGAAUGUCAUGGUCUCCGUUGCAACGCAGAAGGCAUCUAACCCAGUGCACACAGUGGCUAACAGCUUGAGCCUUCCAGGUUUGCAACUGAUAACAAAAAAGCUAGAACUGCCUGUUAAGCUGGUCUUUCCAAGAAAUUUAAUGGGUGGGCUGAUUCCUGGGAGCACUGCUGGAGAGUACAUGAUGCUGGGCCUUGGAGACAUGGUAUGGUACUCUCUUAAUCUGCAUUUAUUAUUGUUCUUAUGGUAUUUUGGGAUUCCUUUCUUGGUCAACUUGAAAGUAGGAUGUAUUGGUUGAUGCAUCCACAAUUUAAUCUAAGUCCUUAUGCAGUAUUAUCUAACAUUUCUGACUUGUAUAUUUCCUGUCCGUUGCACUACACAUCAUGUUGGUUGUUUUACAGUGCUCAUGCAUUUGUAUAUAUUUCUUAGGUGCUCAUGCACCUAAGUUUUACGAUGAAUAGAAUUUCUUAAUGCUGAACAUUACUCAAUCCAAGUCUGAUGAGCUUCCGCUUGGCGUUAGUGAGACCUGACAAUGCUUGAUCACAUUGGGACUCUUCUAAAAUUGUAGCAAGGUUAGGUCUUGUGAUAUUAUUAUGGUCAACCAAAUUUGGUAUUUUUAGGAUGUAACAUUAUUAUAUCAUAUAUAAGUUUGAUAAAAAGGACACUCGAAUCUGCCUCUUGAUUUGGUAAUCUGGAUGCAUGACACGCCUUUGAUAAACAGAAGAAACAUAGCAGUGCUUCGCAUAUCACAUUUAAUAUUUAUAACUUUAAUUGGAAACAUAUUGCUCUUCAUCAAGGACACAUUUUGCUCAUUCAGGCGCCUAUGUUGUCAUUCCUGCCCAUGCCAUAACUGGCUUUCUGUUAUAUAAUGUUUUCAUAGUUAACCUUUAUGGAGUUAAAAAUGACUUUCUUAAUAACAAAUAUAUUCAAAUUUUUCAUAGGAUUUUUCAAAUGUACAUAGAUUAUCAUCAUAAAUGAAAAGAUGAUGAUGAGCAGCAACAUGAUGACCUGUUGCACCUCUAGUUUGACAGUUUGGUGUUGUUAUGAGCCAGUUGAACUUCAUCGACAAUUUUAUUUCCUGCACUGCUUGCAUGCCUAUCUCCCUUCUUAGUCAAUGCCGAUGUAUCAUAGGUUUCUUAGGCUCACCACUCCUUUGGGGGCGCUCUUCUCCAUUGCUUCCUCAAUACUGCUUCUUUGACUGGAUUUUUUGAAUCGAUCAUCUGCUUAAUAACUGUAUGCAUCAGCUUAUGUUCCAGUUGGCCAGUUGGAUACCACAAAUCUUCCAUUGGAUCUCUUGCUAUUAUGGGGCUAUGGUGCUAUUUAAUCCAGAUCUAAUUACAUUGAUCUAAGCUAUGAGUCUAUGACACAAAAAUCGAUAGCCAGCUAUUUGUUCUGUGACAAGAAAUUUCCUGAUGCCGCCAUCACCUAAAGUUUAUUAAGGAAUAGUUAUCAUCCAGAGAAAAUAGAAGGCGCCAUCACUAUCUGAGCCAUAAUAUAUUGGAGUGUUAUAUUGUCUAGUUAGUUCUCCACACCCCUCCCACCCUGCCACAAUCUUGCAUAACAUGUUGAAAACCUAUGCACGAUUAGUGCAACCAUUAUGGUGGAGUCUCUGAAUUGAUUUUGAUGAAUCAGGUUUGGAGAUUAAAAUUUUCAAAUUUAGGAUUAUAUCCAUUUGGAAAGCUCAACAACUAACUCUGCAAUCUAUCAGUACAGGUUUUAAGUUACAAUAACAUUUCCUAUGACCCAAGGCUUAAAGUCUGGGUAUUGGUACCCAUACUGGUUGGUUUCACUGUGCAAGGUGCACUGGUUUGAGCCAAUAGGGCAAAGGUAACCAACUAUCAUGUAUUGGUAUGUUAUGGUAUUGGUCAGUCACCAGUAUGUUACAGACAACACAUUACUCAAAUCCCUAUUCCUUGCUAUGGCCUGUUUAUGUCGAAAAACUGAACAUAUAUAGAAAGGAUAAAAUGCAAAUACAAAUAUUAAAUUGGUACUGAAAUUUGUAUCUGCACUUGUUCUAAUUGGAUACAUAUCCAAAUCGAAUAUUAAUCAUUUCCAUAUUUGUUCUAAUAUGAUACAUAUGCGAAUUGGAUAUUAGUCAGAUGCAAAUCAUGUGCUUUGAGUGAAGCUGAAUAGUCACAACUGAUAUUGAGUGAUUAUCAUGAAAGAUGUGAAAAAUAAAUUAGUUGCGGCUUAAUUAUCUGAAUAUGAUUUCAGCAAGCAUCGAUGAGUAUGCAUGAUAAAAUGUAAGAAUUUAUAAAAUUGAUAAUUGACCCCACUUUCUCGCUGAUAUUCACUGUGUUUGAUCAAAUCCUUGGACCAAUGUUGGAUGGCUACACUAUACGUGCCAUUCAUUUACGGUACAAUGUACACACACCCCCCUAUAUAUGCAGCCUUGAUAAUCUCUUCCUGCUCUGUCAACUUUUGUAUGUAGUGUCAUGCUUUGUUCUUCUCUGCUAGAUACUUGCCAUGGAUAACCUUUUUUGCUAGUUUACCAUCAUGUAUAUCAAACUCAUAUCAGCACAAUUAAUUGAUCCAAACACCAAACCUACCUAUCAGCAAGGAUAUAAGAUUCCGUAAAGGAAGAUCUACAAAUAAUAUAAUAUUUUGUCUCGUCCCUAUUUUUAGAUGACCCAUCUGUUUAGUGGUCGGGCAACACUUAUCUGUGAACAACUGUAAACAACUUCUGCUGAUAGUCUCAUAUUUACGUUAAUUUUGUUCUUGGUGAUGCCGAGUUAUUAUUGCUAUCAAAUUAGUCAUGUUGUUGUAAAUUUCCACAAGUCUGAUACGUAUGUGAUCGCCAUGUGUUGCAAAAGAGGAGUUAUGGUGUGGCAGUUAUUUAUACAAUGUCUUUCCUUAUGCACCAUAUAACUACAUAGGCACGAAGCAAAAUUGUUGAGGGCAGCAUGGAACACUGCAGUCGUGGCAGCUUGGAGCGGACGGCAAACAAAAUUCUUGACCGCUGCCAAUUCGAGUACUUGGAUGAGGCCAAUAAGUAUUUUGAACUGAAUUAGGAAGGAUAUUGUAUUGGAGUGAUUGUCUCGAUAAGGAAUCUAGCCUGCCCCCUUCUCCCUUUCUAGUUAUGGUCAUUGUUGGCGUUUUAGGAGGUGGAAAUGAAGACCCUUAAGGUAUUGGUGGUGAUGUUGGUUGGAUUGCUGGUGCGGAUGAUGGAGGUAGUGUUGGUGCAGGAGAUACAAGCGGCAGGGGUGACAGGGAUGCUGAAGCACUGGGGCCAUUAAACCAUGAAGCGCUUGUUCUUCUGGUGUUGUAGGAACCUCUUCAAUAUAUAGUUAAUGGAGCAUUUUUGGAGCUUUGGCUUGGCUGGUAGCUACUCGGGAUCAUGAUCAGUGUGCGGCAUGGCUUAUGGUGGGAAGGAAUGGAGGUUUGAUAGUGGAUGGCAUAGCUAGCAUAGUGUAGAAGGCAUUAAGACUUUAGGAGAAAAGGGAAAGAGCUCUGUUUUCCAUGCGAAGUUCAUGGAUUUUUCUUAUUUUUUAUUUACUUUAUAUAUAAUAAAAUAGGCCCGAGAAAAAUUGCAUAUGGCUAUCCUAAUUCUGUAUGCAUAUUGUACCUGGCUUGUUUCAGAUAUGUGUUGGAUUAUAUCCAACACUCUGAGUCCUUCUGAUCCUUGAAUUUUCUCAGUUUUAUUAUUCUUAAUUUAAAUCUUACAGGUUUGUCCAAGUUACACCCCAACUGCAACACUCUUUUUUCUCCAGUUCUCUAGUGGUGCCUGCCUCCUUUUUGUAAAUCAAGAGGUGGACAUAUUCCCUCAAUUUUGCUAGUUAAUGUAUCAUGCUUAAUGCAGUAACAAGAAACAAGAGAAAUAAGCAAAUGCAUAAAUGGGAAAGGUCAGUUUCUCUUGUCAUUGUGGAAGGUUAUUAUAUUUGUAUAUUGUGUCUAUAUUUACACAGACCCAAAUAAUUCAGAUGUCUAAUUCUUUAAGCUGAGCAAAAUUUUGCUUUACAGAUGAAGCAACUUCUUGCAAUUAUCUAGUCAAUGCAACUUUGCAAUCCUUUCGUCUUUAUGAACUGAACAUCUCAAAUUCUGUCUUUUGAUGUGUAAAAUCUAUACUUAUCGUUGCCUACAUAAUGGGGGCUGAAAUUGUGUGGUAUGUCUUAUCUUUUUUGGCUGGCUAUAGUCUAAAACGAUUCCUCUUUCAUCUGUUGGGAAAGCAUUAGUUGCAUGAUGUUUCAGUUUAGUUUUUACUUCUAUAUUUUGUCAUCAUAUAUUUUCACUUUUAUAUUUUGUCACCAUAUCUUUGAUUGGGUAAUGGUACAUUUUAUUGAGGUUGAACUGAAAUUGUUGCAUGCUAUCUACGAAUAAUGAUGCAGAGCACUUGAAUAUGUUUUUAGCCUGUUUAUUUGAACUUCCAAAUUUUUACAUGUCUAUUUAUCUACAGCCACGAUUACUCUGCCUGUUUCAUUAACUUUCCAACUAAAUUACCAUAACAAAGGUUUUGCUGAUUCUGUAGGCCAUUCCUGGAAUGCUUCUAGCUUUGGUCUUCUGUUUUGACCAUCGAAAGAAUAGAGAUAUGGACAUUUCAUUGGAGACCUUUUCCUCAAAAGGGCAUAAAUAUAUAUGGUAUGGACUUUCUGGUUAUGCAGCUGGACUGAUCACUGCUUUGGCUGCUGGGAUCUUGAGUCAGUCUCCUCAACCUGCUCUUCUCUAUCUGGUGAGUUUCAUUCAUCUGAGGUAUCAAUUGUUUUCAUCCGUGUUCAAUAUUAGUUUUCUUCAUAAGCCAGUGCCUUCACGCAGUAUGCAUAUGCUGUUGCUGUCACAAGUAUUCUCUGUAUAGGAAUCUGACAAAUUUGUAUGAAACAUCAAUACCAACUCACCUAUUACUUUUAUCUAGAUCAAUCUAUUAGAAUUGAGGCCAUAAAUCAUUUUUGAAAUAUCCUUUUAUUCUUGUUAUUAUUCAUGUCUUAAACAUCAAAGGCUGGCGGACCUCAUGAAGCUUAAUUAUAAAUACUUUUGUUUUAAUACUAAAAAAAAGUUAAUCGAAAGACUUUGGCAUCUGUUCUGUUACUAAACCCAAUUCCCGAGUGCUUCCAUGAGGCUCCACCUCUGGUGUUGUGUGUCUCAAAUAGUAUAGCUACUCUUGUUCUGAGGCAGAGAAACAAGAGUAGUAUACAUCCCAAAAUUAGGAGUGUAUAUAUAAAAUUGCAUAAAUCAUUAAAAAAUAAUCAGAUUGCAAGAUGACAGCCAUUGUUGAUCGUACACUGCAG